UAUAUCAACAAACUGAUUAUUAUUAUUAAUUAAUUAAUUAAUUCCGAUCUUCAUAUUCCAAAUGUCUUCAAUAACGCAAGUAGCAAUCCCAAAUGUUGUCCUGCAAUCAUCCUUCAGCAUGCUGGUCAUAGGCUUUGGAACUGCUGCCUUCGAAACUGAUGACGGUGACGUCCAUAAAUUGGCAUUAAUGGAGGCCAUCAAGCUCGGUUACAGGCAAUUCGACACUGCUUCUAUAUAUGGCUCCGAACAGGCUCUGGGAGAAGCCAUUGCUGAAGCCCUUAAACUUGGUCUCAUAAACUCCAGGGAUGAACUUUUCAUCACUUCCAAGUUAUGGUUAUCUGAUAACCAUCCCGAUCUUGUUAUUCCUGCUCUAUGCAAAUCACUUCAGUAAGACCUACUUAAUUAGUUUAAUUAAGUUCAAUAAUACGAAUGAAUAACUUAUGGACUUGUGGUAAUUCAUAUGCAAGAAUCUUGGAUUAGAAUACUUAGAUCUCUACUUGAUUCUGCUUUCCCUCACUCCAUUUCAGCCAUUCUAGUCUCGUUCUUCUCUUGCUCACCCUCACCGCGCGCUACCCGUCACUGGUGGUUGUCAAUUCUGUGAGGAGAAUAUAUAUUUGCUUUGCAGGGUUGGGUUUGUUAUUCUCUAUAUCUUAAUAAGUGAAUGCUUUUUUUGAUUGUCUAUAUCUUAACAAGAACAUUCAUUAGGACUUCCAUCUCUACUGUCAGAUCCUAGUGCUAAGACACCAGAGGAGGCAUUGGUAUACAUAUUUGGUGAAGCUAGAAGAACCACACCAUCAAUUCUCUAUUUACCACAAUUUGAUGUUUGGUGGGAAACUGCUCAUAAACAACUCAGAGUUGUCCUCCAGACUUUGCUAGACAAAUUGCCAUCUAACAUGCCUAUCCUUCUACUGGAAACAUCCUCAGUUUUGCUAGCUGAAGUUGAAGAUGCACCACAUCCACUUUUCCCUCAUUGUUCAAUGUAUCGUUGAUCUAAUUCACAACAAAACACUUAUUUUUUAUAUGGAAUGUUGAUAGAGUUUAAGUGCUAUAAGUAUUUUUUUUUCUUUUCUCAUUUUAUUUG